rnacentral:rRNA from 1 species
AUUGAACGCUGGCGGCAGGCCUAACACAUGCAAGUCGAGCGGAUGAAGGGAGCUUGCUCCUGGAUUCAGCGGCGGACGGGUGAGUAAUGCCUAGGAAUCUGCCUGGUAGUGGGGGAUAACUUCCGGAAACGGGCGCUAAUACCGCAUCCGUCCUGAGGGAGAAAGUGGGGGAUCUUCGGCCCUCACGCUAUCAGAUGAGCCUAGGUCGGAUUAGCUAGUUGGUGGGGUAAAGGCCUACCAAGGCGACGAUCCGUAACUGGUCUGAGAGGAUGAUCAGUCACACUGGAACUGAGACACGGUCCAGACUCCUACGGGAGGCAGCAGUGGGGAAUAUUGGACAAUGGGCGAAAGCCUGAUCCAGCCAUGCCGCGUGUGUGAAGAAGGUCUUCGGAUUGUAAAGCACUUUAAGUUGGGAGGAAGGGCAGUAAGUUAAUACCUUGCUGUUUUGACGUUACCAACAGAAUAAGCACCGGCUAACUUCGUG